rnacentral:ncRNA from 1 species
AACUGAGUUUGUGAUCGGUGUGGAAGCGUUUUUAUUAAUCUCACAAAUGGAGCAUUUAAAUAUGUUAACAGUAGAGCAGAAAGCAAAAAUCGUUGCUGAAUUUGGUCGUA